rnacentral:rRNA from 1 species
AUGGUACGUAGUGUACUACACCUCGAGACGGGCCAGCUCGUCGGCGAACACCUUGCUGAACUCCGGCAUGCUCUCUGGCUCCAGCGACAGCGCGAGCGUGAGGGCGCCGUCCUUGCCGGGCGCGUUCAUCACGUACACGAAGCCGCUGUAGUACAUGAGCGCGGGCCCCAUGAACGCCGGCGCGCCCCACCCGAAGUCGGCGUCGGAGAGCGACAUGCCCAUCCAGCUGAUGGCGCGCAGGUGCGCGCGCGAGAUGCCGCUUCGUGGCAGGUUCAUCACGUCCACGCCGUCCAGGUAGUCCACCAGAGACCGCGCAUGGUCGUCCCCCUGGCUCGUCGCCGCGCGCGCGCGCCGAGCAGCAAAGUCCACCGGGUUAGACACCACCUCCCCGACGGUGGCCACGGUCGACGUCCGGAUCACCGCAUUCCCGAAGUAGCCCCGCGGGAGCGGCGGCGCCAGGCGCGGGCGCAUGUCGAUCAUGGAGUAGAGCCGCGUCUCCGCGUCCAGCGGCAGGCCCCGCGCGCGGCACGCGCACUGCCACACCAGCGCCACCACGGCGCGGAACGUGGACGCGCCUGCGCACCGCGCCCUCAGCGCGCUCACCUGCUGCUUGCUCACCGUGAUCAGGGCGCUCGCGUACGUGGACCCAGCGGUUGCCGCGUGCACCGGGGCUGGCUCCGGCUUGUACUCGGGGUGGUCGUACGGCACCGCGCGCUCUUGGCGCGCGGCGAGCAGCCUGUGGUCGAAGCUAGGCGGCACGGGCGCGUCAUCUUUGGUGGAGCCGCGGGCGACGCUCGCCCAGGUCUCCACGAAGAGCGCCGCGCUCCGGGCGUCGACGACGGAGUGGUGCAUCGCCAGGCCGAGCACGACACCGCCGCAGCGCAGGUACGUGACCUGCGCCAGCAGCAGGACGCACGGCGGGUUCGGUGCGGGCGUCGGGGGCACGAACAGGUCGCGCAUCUCGCCGCACGGCACGAACUCGUUCAUGAGGUCCUCGAGCGCGUAGUGAUCCGAGCGCGCGGUGACGAAGACCGCGCCCUCGCCGGUGCAGUCGAUCUGGACACGCCCGGCGCCGUCCAGCCCGAGGCGGCCGGCCAGCGGGUAGAACUCCACCAGAGCCCUGGCGAGGCUGUCCUUGACGGCGUCGGCCGCGAAGAAGCCCGCAUGCUCGCCGUUCGGCCGGUAGAAGUAGACCGUGGGCGUGUAGCCCCGGCGCGCAGCCAGGUCCAGGUUGGACAGCCAGACGGCGCCCCCCGGCGUUGCCUCCACCGGGACGACCAUCUCCGUCGACAACACCUGAACGGCUGCCAUUGUGUGCCUCGUGUACGUACGUGUCUCUUGCUCUCUUUUGUGCUGCUGUACGUGCUUGGGACUUGCGAGUGCUCUACUGCUGUGCGUGGACGUGGAUGGUUUAUAUAG